ensembl:snRNA U6 U6 spliceosomal RNA
CUGCUCACUUUGGCAGCACAUGUACUAAAAUUGGGACGAUACAGAGAAGAUUAGUAUGGUCCCUGCACAAGGAUGACAGGCAAAUUCACGAAGCAUUCCAUAUUUUA